rnacentral:rRNA from 1 species
GACGAACGCUGGCGGCGUGCUUAACACAUGCAAGUCGAACGGAAAGGCUCCUCUUUGCUGGGGUACUCGAGUGGCGAACGGGUGAGUAACACGUGGGUGAUCUGCCUUGUACUCUGGGAUAACCUUGGGAAACUGGGUCUAAUACCGGAUAAUAACUGCCUCUAGUUGGUUGGUGGGGAAGUUUUUUCGGUGCAAGAUGAGCUCGCGGGCUAUCUCCUUGUUGGGGGGGUAUUGGGCUACCAAAGCGUCUUCGGGUAGCCCGGCUGGGAGGGUGUACGGGCAAAAUGGGAACGGGGAAAGGGCCAGACUCCUAAGGGGGGGAACAGGGGGGAAAAAUGCAAAAUGGGGGGAAGCCUGAUGCAGGGAAGGCGGGGGGGGGAUGACGGGCCUCGGGUUGUAAACUCCUUUCGACAGGGACGGAGGUGUGAGUGACGGUACCGGGAUAAGAAGCACCGGCUAACUACGUG